GAAAUCUGUGCAUGGUCAGCACCCGUUCAACAGUGCAGAAAUUGAUUCCACUUGAUCCAGAACUUGAGCAGAAUUUAAGGAGGAAACGCUGGGAGCAAACUUUGCAGAGGGUUCGUCCUCUGCAGGAGACUUUUCUGCAAUCAUUCUUUUCUGGGGACCUGCACAACAAAGAUAAAAUGGCAUUUGUAAUUCCAGAAGCUGGUCUGCCCCUGGGAGAUUCAUUGACAGCCCAUACCACAAAUAUACCAAGUUGCAUUACUUAUCCGGCAGUGGAGGAAGGGUCUGCAUUUGAAAUAAAGCAGCACAUGUUGAAUAUUCUACCUACAUUUCAUGGGUUAUCAUCUGAUGAUCCUAACAUGCACAUUGCAGAAUUUUUAAUGGGGUGCAAAAACAUUUUGGUGAGGGGAUUUUCAGCCGAAUCUAUUAAGCUGCGUUUAUUUCCAUACACACUAAAAGAUCAAGCAAGGAGAUGACUCUUCACACUCCCAUCUGGAAGCAUUAGUACUUGGGCCCAACUCAGUGAAAAUUUUUUAAACAAGUAUUAUUCGGCUUCUAAGACUCUUGACAUGAGAACUCAGAUUUUAUCUUUUGCCCAAAAACCAAAUAAGGAGUUUCAUGAGGCGUGGGAGCGGUUUAAAGAGUUGAUUAGAAAAUGUCCACAUUCGGGUAUUAACACUACUGAUCAAAUGCAUAUAUUUUUCAGAGGGUUGAAUAUGACUACAAAAACUCUUGUCAACGCUUCAUGCGGAGGUUCGUACAAAGACAAAAAUGCACGAGAGGCUUGUUUGUUAUUUGAAAAAAUGGCAGCAGAUACACAGCAGUGGGCAGUUGAGCAGCCACAAUCUAGGUCAGCUUUUGAGAUGUCUACUGGUUCUCCGUACGUUACAGCACAAAUUGAAAAAAUGGAGAAAAUGCUUGAUGCAAAAUUUGACAUGUUAUUACAGAGAAUACCAAGUUCCCAGGUUGCUGUACAGCAACCCUUACAAGCUGCCUGCAGCAUUUGCAACUGAUAACUCACGAUUUUAUGAGCUGCCCACAUAAAGAUGUUUCUCCAGAUUUUAUAGCAGAGCAGGUUAAUGCAUUUAACAAUUUCCAGCGCCCCCGAUAUUACCCGUAUUCUAAUUUCUACAACCCAGGUUAGAGAGAUCAUCCUAAUCUAAGGUGGGACAAGGAACAGCACACUGGGCCUCAAUUUCAACAGCAGGUACAACAACCUGCUGCACCUAAGGUUGCUUGGGAGGUUGCAAUUGAAAAAUUGGCAAAUACUACCACUCAAGAAAUUCAAAAUCUACAGGCAACAGUGAAAAACAUGGAAAAACAGAUGGGGCAGAUUGCUUUGCAGGUUUCUGGAAGGGCACCGAGUACAUUUCCCAGCCAAAUCGAACCAAAUCCAAGGGGAGGUGCAGAUUGCAAGGCAGUUAGAGUUCUACGUUCCGGCAAAAGUUUUGAUAACAGGGAUGAAAAUUGCGUUCAAAAUUCACGGGUGGCUUCGCAGCCAAAAACAGAUUCGGGGAAUGUUGAAAAAUCUGCCAAUUCGAAAAAUUCUGAACAGUCCUUGAACAGUUCCGAAAAUGGUGCAAAUAUUGUUGCGGAUCGUGUGUAUGAGCCACUUAUGCCUUAUCCCGAAAGGUUGAAGCCUAAAGUUAAAGAUCAACAAUUGACAGAUUUUAUGAAGACUUUGUCUAAGGUUCAGAUUAAUCUGCCGUUAAUUGAUGCCAUCAAGAACAUUUCAUCUUAUGCCAAGUUUUUAAAGGAUGUUUGCACAAAGAAAAAGAAGCUCGUUGAUUUUGAGAAAGUGAUUCUUACAGAACAAUGCAGCGCUGUUCUACUACAUAAGUUGCCCCCAAAGAAACAAGAUCCAUGGAGUUUUACAAUUUCAUGCUCAAUUGGAAAUUCUAAUUUUAAACGUGCUUUAAUUGAUUUAGGUGCUAGUAUUAAUUUAAUGCCUUUUUCUGUUUUUCAGAGACUGGGACAAGGAGAAAUCAAGCCUACAUCAGUUAUUCUACAACUAGCGGACCGUUCAGUUGCUUAUCCUAGGGGAAUUAUUAAAGACCUAAUUAUUAAAGUGGAGAAUCUCUAUCUUCCUGCAGAUUUUGUGAUUUUGGAUAUGGAUGAAGAUAUGCAAACACCAAUUAUUUUGGGACGUCCCUUCAUGGCAAUAGCUAGAACAUUAAUUGAUGUAGAGGCUGGAACACUUACACUUAGAGUGCAAGAUCAAUCUGUUGUGUUCAGUUUAUUUGAAGCUACCAAAAGGCCAGGUGAUGUGCAUGAUUGUAUGCGUGUUGAUAUGCUGGACAGCUUAUUGCAUGCUGAAAUUAUGCCACGUUUGACAUCGGAUCCAUUGUUAAAUGUGUUGCAUGAGUUUGAGAAUAAAAAUACAGUAGAUGAAGAGGUUUUUGAGUAUGUUUCAGCUUUGGAAAGUGUUCCUUUUCAACCCCCACGUUGGAGGCACGUUUUUGAGAGUUUGGGGGAACCCAAAAAGCUGUUGCAGCCUUCUAAGGUACAACCAACUAAACUGGAGUUAAAGGUGCUUCCAGAACACUUGAAAUAUGCUUAUUUGGGUGCAGAUUCUUCGCUGCCAGUUAUUAUAGCUGCUGAUUUAUCAUCAACAGAAGAAGAUAAAUUGUUACGCAUUUUAAGGAGUCAUCAAGAUGCAAAUGGCUGGACUAUAGCUGACAUUAAGGGGAUCAGCCUUACAAUUUGUAUGCACAAAAUUUUGAUGGAGGAUGGAGUAAAACCUGCUAUUGACGCUCAACGUCGUUUGAAUCCAAUUAUGAAAGAAGUUGUUCGUAAUGAAGUUAUGAAGCUUUUAGAUGCUGGGAUGAUCUAUCCCAUUUCAGAUAGUAAGUGAAUUAGUCCAACUCAAGUGGUGCCAAAGCGUUCUGGUAUUACAGUUGUGCAGAAUGAUAAUAAUGAACUUGUGCCUACUCGUUUGACUACUGGGUGGCGUAUGUGUGUUGAUUAUAGAAAGAUCAAUGCAGGCACUAGAAAAGAUCAUUUUCCAUUGCCAUUCAUUGAUCAAAUGUUGGAAAGGUUGGUUGGUCGUGCUUUCUAUUGUUUCUUGGAUGGCUAUUCAGGGUACAACCAGAUUCCAGUUGCCCCUGAGGAUCAAGAAAAUACAACCUUUACUUGUCCUUUUAGGACUUUCGCAUAUAGAAGAAUGCCUUUUGGUUUGUGCAAUGCGCCUGCCACGUUUCAACAUUGCAUGAUGAGCAUAUUUACCAGGUUAGUUGAACAUGUAGUUGAGGUAUUUAUGGAUGACUUUUCUGUUUUUGGGGAUUCUUUUGACCAAUGUUUGCAGAAUUUAUCUCUAGUUCUUGAAAGGUGCAUUAAGACCAACCUAGUUUUAAAUUGGGAAAAGUGUCAUUUCAUGGUUAAGCAGGGAAUUGUCCUAGGCCACUUGAUUUCUAACAGGGGUAUUGAAGUUGACAAGGCUAAAAUUGAUGCAAUUAAGAAGUUGCCACCCCCUACAACUGUUAAGAGUGUUCGAUCUUUUCUUGGCCAUGCCGGAUUUUAUAGACGAUUCAUCAAGGAUUUCUCCAAGAUUAGCCGACCAUUGUGUAAUUUAUUGGCUAAGGAUGCACCUUUUGUUUUUUAUGAGACUUGUUUGGAGGCCUUCAAGAAGUUAAAGACACUCCUCACUACAGCACCCAUUAUUGCAGCUCCUAAUUGGAGCCUACCUUUUGAAUUGAUGUGUGACGCAUCAAAGUAUGCAGUGGGAGCAGUUCUUGGACAGCGGAAAGAUAAGCUUCCCCAAGUUAUAUAUUAUGCUAGUUGAACCCUCAAUGAUGCACAACUAAACUAUGCUACCACAAAGAAAGAAUUGUUGGCAGUUGUUUUUGCAUUGGAAAAUUUUCGUUCGUAUUUAGUUGGGGCUAAAGUGAUUGUUUAUACAGAUCAUGCAGCUUUGAAAUAUUUGUUGUCUAAAAAAGAUGCUAAGCCUCGAUUAAUUCGUUGGAUUCUUUUAUUGCAAGAGUUUGACUUAGAAAUCAGAGAUAAAAAGGGUAGUGAAAAUGUGGUGGCUGACCAUUUAUCUAGAUUAAUUAUUCCCACAGCUUCCGAAGAGGAUUCCCUACCAUUAAGGGAGAGUUUUCCAGAUGAACAACUAUUUGCAGUCCAAUUCCGUACACCAUGGUUUGCUGAUAUUGUUAAUUAUUUGGUUAAAGGUGUAGUGCAUCCAGAUUUAACGUUUCAGCAGAAAAAGAAGUUUUUAUCUGAUGUCAAGCAUUAUUUCUGGGAUGAGCCAUACCUAUUUAAGUAUUGCCCAGACCAGAUUAUUCGCAGGUGUAUUCCUGAAGCCGAACAGGAAAGUGUUUUAAAGUUUGCUCAUCAUUUUGCUUGCAGGGGACAUUUUGGGCAGAAAGGACAGCAUAGAAGAUUUUGCAAAGUGGGUUAUUUUGGCCUAUACUUUUUCAAGAUGCACAUAAUUGGUGCAAGGCUUGUGAUAGGUGUCAAAGAGUCAGCAACCAGUCCAAAAGGAAUGAGAUGCCCCAGCAAAGUAUUUUAAUUGUUGAAUUAUUUGAUGUUUGGGGUAUUGAUUUCAUGGGACCAUUUCCAUCUUCCCAUGGGAACCACUAUAUUUAGUUGCUGUGGAAUAUGUUUCUAAGUGGGUCGAGGCCAUUGCAGCACCAACUAAUCAAGGAUCAAUGGUCCUGAAGUUCCUCCAAGGGGUUAUAUUUCCGCGUUUUGGAAUUCCACGCGUUAUUCUUAGUGAUGGGGGGAAGCAUUUUAUUAAUAAACCGUUUGCUAAUUUGUUGGCAAAAUAUGGGAUUAAUCAUCCACAUACAUCUGGUCAAGUGGAAGUUUCAAACAGAGAAUUAAAACGCAUUUUGGAGAAAACAGUUGGUUCAACACGUAAAGAUUGGAGUUCAAAAUUAAAUGAUGCAUUGUGGGCCUACAGGACAGCUUAUAAGACUCCUAUUGGAAUGUCACCAUUUCGACUCGUUUAUGGGAAAGCAUGUCAUCUACCUAUGGAGCUUGAGCAUAAGGCUUACUGGGCAAUUAAAGAGUUAAAUUUUUCGUAUGAUUCAGCUGGGGAACAACGUAAAUUACAGCUCAAUGAGCUGGAGGAAAUUCGUCAGGGUGCUUAUGAAAGUUCUCGCAUCUACAAGGAAAGAACUAAGGCAUUUCAUGAUAGUCAAAUUUUAAGGAAAGAAUUUCAGCCAGGGCAAAAGGUGUUGCUAUUCAGUUCACGGCGAAAGUUGUUUCCAGGGAAAUUGAAAUCUCGCUGGACUGGGCCAUAUCUGGUUACUAAAGUCUUUUCUCAUGGGGCAGUUGAAAUAACUAAUGAAGCUCAAGGUGAAUGGGCACAGGCUGAAACCAUACGUGGAGUCACCCUUUGAUACUGCAUACGAGUCUUUGACUCUGAAGGAACCAGUGAUCUAGCCACCGAACUUCCGCAACGUCUAGCUACAGACUUAAAAUAAAGCGCUAAUUGGGAGGCAACCCAACUUUUCUAAACUUUUUCCUAAUUUUAAUUUUCGUUUGAUUUUCUCUUUAAUAUAAACAAACAAACAAAAAAAAAAGACGAAAAUGCAAAAAUACAAAAAUGGAAAAUUGCAAGUUGAUUUUUUUUUUUUUUUUUUUUAACCCAUAUUCGUUAAUUGUAGGUUGCAAACAUGGAAAAAUAAAACGCGUCCUAUGCUGGAAUCCUGCACCCAGCAGCAAGUCUAAUGUUCACAUCAACCACAUCUACCCUAUGCUGGAAAUUUAAAGCAGUCAACAUAAAGUCAUUCACAGAUGCAAGUUUGGGGGUGAUUGUUGCAGAUCCAGCACAGAAACAAAAUUUAGAGCAGUUAAUUUUCUGCAGCUCAAUUUUGCGAUGCAUAGAGGAAGCACAAUUAAAUCACAGAUCCAUACACCACAGAACUGAGUACAGCUAUUAUUACCAGAUCUAUAACAACUACACUUGCAGGGAUUCGAAGUUUACCUCCCGAAUGCACCGAUCUGGGUCAUGCGGCCUGUGCUGUUUUCAUCCGUUGAGCUUGUGUGUUUACUUCUGUUUCCUUGGCUCUAUCAUGGAUCCGUAUACCCCUACAUAAAGAGCAAAAAUAUGAGUACAUACAGGUUAAAUAUGGCAUUAUAAUGAACUGUCGUUGAACAUGUAAAUGUUGAGUUUAGCAACUGCAGAAGAACGAGAUCUUUACCUUCAUGAUUUGCAGCAACCGAGACAUUUGCCGUUUAUUUUGCCGUCUGGGACCAUUAGACCGGCAACUUAAGCUUGUUUUCUCUCGGUUAUACGCUGGAUUUGAGUGUCAUUUUUCAGUCCCAGUAGUGGUUAUAUUAUUCAAAUAUCAGAUCAUCGUCAAUCUAUCAAAAGGGUUACGGGUUUUACCUCAAAAUUUGCAGAUCCGUGAGUUUGGG
rnacentral:lncRNA from 1 species